GGACGGCUCCUUUCAAGAGUCUCUGACUCCUUCCGUCCCGGGAAGACCAAGACACCCACAUCUAAGACAAGGGAAGUCACCAUUAUCUACACCAAUGAUAAACGCCGGUAUCUGGGAGGAACUGAGCCCAGGACCGGGUCAGGCAACUCAGAGUGUUGGGACAACUAAGUCCCUCUUCAAAGACUCAACUUUCUUGUCAUAAGUUGCAAAAGUUGUACGUCAAUCCUGCCUGCCCCCCGCCCCCCACCACACACAUACACUCCUUUUUUUCGCAAAUCCAGGGUUUACCCUAUUUGCCAAAGUUUAAGUCUUAGCCAAUCGGGAUCAGCUUAGAUUGUGCGGUCCAACCCCAGCCAAUAGGGGAAGGACACAGAAACAGGAACUGCGUUAGGAUUAAAAACUCCUUACCUCCUUUGUUUGGUGUGCUCUUGCAAUUGUAACAGGCAAGGAGCACCCUUCUGCAGAAGUAAAGAUGCCUUGCUGAGGAAUUUUCUAAGUGAGGGUUUCUUUUGGCUACACCAAGCACUUGUUUCCAGUAAAUCUUAGGGACUCGUCCGGGAUCCCAUUCUCCUUCGGGAGGGGCUAGCGAUUAUCUUUCAUGGGGAGACGCGUCCCAUUGCCUCGUGGUGGCCCCAGGAGCGGAGGAUCGAGUCCCGCCCGAAGUGACGAAUAAAUCCGGACUCUCAGCAACGCGGACAGUAGGGAGGAUCCUUAAGAAUUCUGUGAGACCAGCUUGGUCAAUACGGUGAAACUCCGUUUCUACUAAAAAUACAAAAAUUAACCGGGCGUGGUGGUGCGCGCCCUUAGUCCCAGCUACUUGGGAGGCUGAGGCAGGAAAAUCACUUGAACCCGGGAGGCAGAAGUUGCAGUAAGCCGAGAUCAUGCCACUGCACUCCAGCCUAGGCAACAGAGCGAGACUCCGUCUCAAAAAAAAAAAAAAAAAGAAUUCCAUGGCGACCACAGGUAACUCUGUGCACAGACCAAGGUACCCUAAGGGUGGUAUUGAGGCUGGUCCCCAACAUUCUGGUGCCCAACGUGGGGCUCGAAAGAAUCUGAUGAAGGAAUGCUCGAGCGUGUGAAACGGAGGGCUGAUGGACGAAGGACUCCCGAGGACGAAAAAGUUUUUAAGCUCUGCAGGCUUCCACUCUUCAGACCCUUUCCUGCACAACUUUGUCCCUGAGCAUAGGUCCUGGACGUAAAAGAAGGGACAUCGUCUGGAGAAAUAUUGAAUUAAGAAAGGCGCGGCUGUGAAGAAUAGAAAUCAGUGUCUCCCUUAGUCUCUCAGUUCGGCGAUCUUGGUAAUGCCCUGUCCCAUGCCUGCUAACGCGAUUCAGCCUCGAUAUCCCCGUCCAGUCCCACGAUCGCACCAAGAAGAGCUUGCGAGCCUUCCUGCUACAUACUGACAUUAAGAAACCGGACUUGAAAGGGAUCCCAGACAAACGUUAAACAUGCAACAAGAGGGAUAGGGUGUAAGGAAGAGAAUCCUUGGGGCGGUGUCUGAUAAAACAGAUGGCUCUCCUUUCCAGGUGUUUCUGAAUUUGAUCCCCGACGCCUGGGGCAUCGUGGAGGAACUUGCAUAGGAAAUCAAGGUGUCGCAGGAAAGAGAACACGCACAAGCAAAAGAUACCUUAAUUUGUAGUAUACUCAAUAUUUAUCGUACAGAAGUGUAUCGACGAUAGACAAUGUGCGAUGUGAUGGGUGCUGGGAACUUAACGAACUCUCCACGCGCCUAGACCUCAUUGGAUCCACUUUCUCUUGGGCUGUGAGCCGGUAAAAAAAAAAGGGGUGGAUGUGGAGGACGGUCCAAAGGAUUCGGAGCUCCUUAAAAUGCUACUCAAACUUUAUUUAGCGCGCUGGAGAAUCCCUGAGAAGGAGUAUUAUACCCAGUUUUCCGGGACUUACCUCCAGUGAUUCUACGUCGAUUCUUUGAUGAGGCCCAUUAAUUUUUAGCUGGGUGAUGCCGACCAGACUGUAAGUAGCACUGUAUUCGUGCAUUUUCUUUUAUCGCCCACUUUUUGCAACUAACACCAACAGAGAACUUCCACGGUAGAAGGUGAAAAAUUGAGCGUCUACCGGGAGUGGGACUCACAAUCUUAUGUUACUGGGCUUUAACCAACCGAGGUAAUUCCCUUCUACUUUCAAGAUUUUUAUUUUUGUUUUCGUGUUUAAUAAACGUGUAGAUUUCGUCGCAUUGUUUUGUUCUGUUCUGUGGCGGCUUUUUCAUAGAAAGACAACACCAACCUGGGCAUGGUGGCGUGACUCUGUAACUAUACUCAGAAGGCUGAGGCGGGAGAAUCGCUUAAGGCCUGCAAUUGAAGGCCAACUUGGACAACAGAAUGAGACCCUCGUCUCCAAUAAAAUACACAAUUUUUUUGAAAAAGACAACAUCUCCCCCUUAAACAAAACAUUCUCUUCUGAAAAUGCAUUCUCUUAAUCUCCUUUCUUUUACUGAUACUGAGAAAGGGGUUGGCUGAAAGAGAUCUCUGGAAAGACAACUCAAAAAAAUCAAAUAAAGAGUACUAUUUGGCGGGGUGCGAUGGCUCACGCCUGUAAUGCCAGCACUUUGGGAGGCUGAGGCAGGUGGAUCACCUGAGGUCAGGAGUUCGACACCAGCCUGGCCAACAUGGUGAAACCCCAUCUCUACUAACAAUACAAUAAUUAGCCUUGUGUAGUAGCAGCCACCUGUAAUCCCAGCUACUUAGGAGGCUGAGGCAGGAGAAUCACUUGAACCUGGGAGGCGGAGGUUGCAGUGAGCUGAGAUCACCCCAUUGCAUUCCAGCCUGGGCCAUAAGAGCGAAACUCCAUCUCAAAAAAAAAAAAAAGUAUUAUUUAUCUAUAAAAAGAAAUGAAAUUCUAAUACAAGCUAUGACAUGAAUGAACAUUGAAAAUAUUAUACUAAGAAAAAGAAGCCUUUGACCUUUGAUAUGAUAAGCAGAUUGGGACCCCAUCCCACUCCACUGAAAAAACUACAGAGAUUGUAUUUGAAGAUAAAAUACUUUCUUUUCUCCUGAGUAUUCUAGAGCAGCACUGUCCACAACAGCCACUCACACAUAUUUCAAAAACAUAGUACAAAAACAGAAAGAAAGAAAAAAGAAUUCUCAUAUUUUCUUGAUAACAUGUUUAAAUGAUAAUAUUUGGAGUUAAAAUAUAUUAGAAGUAGCUGGGCACAGUGGUAUGCUCUUGUAAUCCCAGCUAUUCCAGAGGCUGUGGAAAGGGGAAUUUCCUGAACCUAGGAGUUUGAGACCAACGCGGGCAAUACAGCGAGCCCCCUUCUCUUAAAAAAAAUAAAAUUAAAUUAAUUUCACUUGUUUAACUUUACUUUCUUAGUAUUACUAGAAAACUUAAAAUUACCCACUAUAUGAUAUUAUAUGUUAACUCAUAUCUUCUUGUGGUUAUUGAUGUGGUAACAUCAGUAAAGUGCUAUCAAUUUACCAGGGGCACAGUGCCUUUGAGCAGACUCCAGACUCUAUAAUGCUGUCAUAUUGCAUUUGUUUUUCA
rnacentral:lncRNA from 10 species